UACGUAGGUGGCAAGCGUUGUCCGGCAUUACUGGGCGUAAAGCGUGCGCAGGCGGUGAUGUAAGACAGGUGUGAAAUCCCCGGGCUUAACCUGGGAACUGCAUUUGUGACUGCAUCGCUGGAGUGCGGCAGAGGGGGAUGGAAUUCCGCGUGUAGCAGUGAAAUGCGUAGAUAUGCGGAGGAACACCGAUGGCGAAGGCAAUCCCCUGGGCCUGCACUGACGCUCAUGCACGAAAGCGUGGGGAGCAAACAGG
rnacentral:rRNA from 1 species